CGUUGGACCCACGAUUUAAAGAACUGCCCUACCUGGAAAAAGAGGACCGAGAACAGGCCUACGCAAAACUGGUUACUGAGGCAGAAGUGUCCCACCAGAUGCAAGCAAUGGGAAAUCAGGAGGAAGACGAGGGCGGCUCAAGCACAAAGCUGUCAGGAUUCAAUGAAGAGACCACAGCUCCAAAUGAGUCACCUCCUUGUAAGAAGAAAGCCUUAGAUGCACUGUU